rnacentral:lncRNA from 10 species
CUCAGCCUCCCGAGUAGCUGGGACUACAGGCACCUGCUACCACGCCCGGUUAAUUUUUUGUAUUUUUAGUACACACGGGAUUUCACCGUGUUAGCCAGGAUGGUCUCCAUCUCCUGACCUCGUGAUGCGCCUGCCUCGGCCUCCCAAAGUGCUGGAGUUACAGGCGUGAGCCACCGCGCCCGGCUGUGCCCGGCCAGAUCUUAAUCCUUUAGUGAGCCUGUGCCUCUGGACUGGACUUCAUAAGUGCUUAUUAACACCCCAAGUCACCUGCUGAGGCGGGACAGGACGGCUCCUGGGGGCUGGGGUUGGGUUUUUCCUUUUCUCCAGGUGGAAGGCUAGGGCCAGCUGGAGUUGGGUAUUUUUCUUCCCCCAGGUCAGGUAGGCACUGAUGAAGCCCCAGCAGGUUCAGCUGUGGUUAAGUAGUUUCUCCUGAGGGUUGGCCUUGUUAAGAACGGAAAGCCCGGGCUUGUCUCUCUUCCCCUCCCCCUGCUGGAGGCACGAGGGGAUUUUUCUCUAAUAUUCACUCUGAGAACCUGGUUGAGCCUCUGUAGGUAAAACUCACAAGAGCACAGGGCGCCCUGUCUGGGUCCGCUCGGAGGUUUGUUUUGUUUUGUGACGGAGUUUCGCUCCGUCGCCCAGGCUGGAGUGCAAUGGCGUGAUCUCUGCUCACUGCAAGCUCCGCCUCCCGGGUUCAAGCGAUUCUCCUGCCUCGGCCUCCCCAGUAGCUGGGACUACAGGCGCCUGCCACUACGCCUGGCUAAUUUUGUGUAUUUUUAGUAGAGACGGGGUUUCACCGUGUUAGCCGGGAUGGUCUAGAACUCCUGACCUCGUGAUCCCCCGCCUUGGCCUCCCCAAGUGCUGGGAUUACAGGCGUGAGCCACCGCGCCCGGCCCUGCUGGGAGUUUCUGUCUCAGACUUCUUCAGCCGGGCACAGCAAUUCAGCUCCUCAGCCUUCUGCUCUUCCCACCCCUCUUCACUGGGUCCGGUGUGGGGCUUCUGCCCGUGGGUUUCUAUGCAGUGGAGACCUGGAAGCAGGAUGGCACAGAAGACCCGGAAUGAGCCAGUGCGGUUAACAAGAGGAAGCACAUGAAUUGGAAAGCUCAGUGAGCUCUUGUUUAGAUAAUAGGAUCCAUAUAUCACUAGUGAUAUGUUCCUUGAUUCUCUUGUGAUCCAUAGAUUCCUUCUCCCUCUCUUCCUUUCCUCCGUCCCUCUCUCUGUUGGCAUUUUAUUUGUAGAAAAAAGUGUAGAAUUUCUUACAGCCUGGAUUUUGCAGAUUGUCUCAUUGUGGUGUCAUUUGACAUAUUUUUCUGCUGCCCUUUUAUGUCCUGUAAUUUGUUGAUUAGAUCAAGAGGCUUAGACUCAAGUUUUUUUUUUUUUUUUUUCCCCAGGAUUACUCAUAGGUGAUGUCGUGUACAGCCAUAUAGAUGGACAGGAUGUCUGGUUUUCUUAUUUUUUUUUUUUCAAAAAGAUGUCAGCAGUCAUUGGUGAUCAUUACCUAAGGGUGUUUUUGUUUGUUUGUUUGUGUUUGAGAUGGAGUCUUGCUCUGUCGCCCAGGCUGGAGUGCAGGGGCGCGAUCUUGGCUCACUGCAAGCUCCGCCUCUUGGAUUCACGCCAUUGUCCCGAGUAGCUGGGACUACAGGCGCCUGCCAACACACCCGGCUAAUUUUUUGUAUUUUUAGUAGAGACGGGGUUUCACCGUGUUAGCCAGGAUUGUCUCGAUCUCCUGACCUCGUGAUCCACCCGUCUUGGCCUCCCAAAGUGCUGGGAUUACAGGCGUGAGAAAAAAAAAGUUUUUUAGAGAUGAUGUCUUGCCAUGUUGCCCAGGCUGGUCUUGAACUGGGCUCAAUCGAUCCUCCCACCGUAGGCUCCCAAAGUGCUGGAAUUACAGGUGUGAACCACCAAGCCCAGCUAGAGCACUCAUUUAGGAGUCUAGUUUUCUGACUCCUUCGGAGUCACAUGGAUUUUUUUAAUGAGAAAUAAUCAUUGGUGAUUUUUUUUUUUUUUUGAGAUAGUCUCACUCUGUUGCCCAGGCUGUGGAUUAGUGGCAUGAUCUUGGCUCACUGCAACUUCCACCUUCUGAGUUCGAGCAAUCCUUCUGCCUCAGCCUCCCAAGUAGCUAGCACUACAGACAGGUGUGCACCACCACACCUGGCAAAUUUUUUUUUUUUUUUUUUUGGAGACAGAGUCUUGCUCUCUUGCCAGGCUGGAGUGCAGUGGUGUGAUCUUGGCUCACUGCAACCUCUGCCUCCUGGGUUCAAGCGAUUCUCCUGUCUCAGCCUCCUGAAUAGCUGGGACUACAGGUGCGCACCACCACACCCAGCUAAUUUUUGCAUUUUUAGUAGAGACGGGGUUUCACCGUGUUGGCCAGGGUGGUCUUGAUCUCUUGACCUCAGGAUCCACCUGCCUCGGCCUCCCAAAGUGCUGGAUUACAGGCAUGAGCCACUACUUCCGACAAAUUUUUGUAUUUUUUAGUAGAGACAGGGUUUCACCAUGUUGCCCAGGCUGGUCUUGAACUCCUGGCCUCAAGUGAUCCACCCACCUCAGCCUUCCAAAAUGCUGGGAUUACAGAUAUGAGCCACCACGUUCGGCUUUAUCAGUAAUUUUUAGAGCACUUUUAUUUUGGGAGCUCUAUUACAGCAGUUUUAUCCAUGUCCUAAAUAAUAUAGUUGCAUACGUUCUUAGCUCUCAUUUUGUAAUUAGAGUUGGAAUAUUCCCCUUCCCAUUCAUUUUACAGGAGUUUUCAUGUUAUCUUGAUAUUAGAAGAUGAUAGCUGUAAGAGUUUUAUUUUCUCUCUUACUAGGGAAGAUAGGAAAAAUAAUAAAGAUUUUAUCUUUGGAAAAAUAAACAAGUGAUAGACAAAUCUCUGGUGACACUAAUCAAUAUAAAAGAGAAAUUAUUGGAAAACUCUCUAAAAAUAGAUAUAGGAAUUUAAUUUUUUUUGCUACUGUUUCAUAGCAACCAUGAAUUUAUUGGGAAGGAAAACAUUUUCAACCAUUUAUUAUUACUUUUUCUUUUCUUUUUUUUUUUUUUGAGAGGGAGUCUCAAUUUGUUGCCCAAGCUAGAGUGCAGUGGCGCUGUCUCUCCUUACUGCAAACUCUGCCUCCUGGGUUCAAGCAAUUCUCCUGCCUCAGCUUUCCUAGUAGCUGGGAUUACAGAUGCCUGCCACCACACCCAGCUAAUUUUUGUAUUUUAGUAGAGACAGGGUUUCACCAUGUUGGCCAGGCUGGUCUUGAACUCCUGACCUUGUGGUCCGCCCGCCUUGGCCUCUCAAAGUGCUGGGAUUACAGGCAUGAGCCCCCUCCCCCAGCCUAUUAUUACUUUUUUUUUUUUUGAGACAGGGUCUCGCUCUGCUGGUCAGGUUGGAGUGCAGUGGUGUGAUCAUAGCUCACUGCAGCCUCAAGCUCCCAGGUUCACGCGAUCCUCCUACCUUGGCCUCCCAAAGUGCUGGGAUUACAGGUGGGAGCCACUGUACUAGCCUUUGUACCAUAAUAAAAUAAAGUCAGCCCUUCAUAUUUGGAGGGGAUUGGUUCCAGGACACAACCCCUUUGUAUUAGUUCAUUCUCAUACUGCUAUGAAGAACUACCUGAGACUGGGUAAUUUAUAAAGAAAAGAGGUCUAAUUGACUCACAGUUCUGCAGCCUGUACAGGAAGCGUGGCUGGGGAGGCCUCAGGAAACUGACAGUCAUGGCGGAAGGCAAAGGGGAAGCAGGAAUGUCUUACAUGGCCAGAGCAGGAGGAAGAGAGAGAAAGACGGGAGGUGCUGCACACUUUUAAACAACCAGCUCUCAUGAUAAGUCACUCACUCUCACGAGUACAGCACGAAAGGGGAAACCUACCCCCAUGAUCCAAUCGCCUCCCACCAGACCCACCUCCAACACUGGGGAUUAUAAUUUUUUUUUUUUUUUUUUUUCCUGAGAUGGAGUCUUGCUUUGUUGCCCAGGCUGGAGUGCAGUGGUGCAAUCUCAGCUCACUGCAGCCUCUGCCUCCCGGCUUCAAGCAGUUCUCCUGCCUCAGCCUCCCAAGUAGCUUGGAUUACAGGCAUGUACCACCAUGUCCGGCUAAUCUUUGUUUUUUUAGUAGAGACGGAGUUUCAUCAUGUUGGCCAGGGUGGUCUCGAACUCCUGACCUCAGGUGAUCCACCUGCCUCGGCCUCCCAAAGUGCUGGGAUUACAGGUGUGAGCCAGCGCGGCCAGCCGGGGAUUAUAAUUUAACAUGAAAUUUGGGCGGGGACACAGACCCAAACCAUAUCACCCUCAUACCCAAAUCUGCCAUACUCAAAUCCCACAGUUGGCCUUGCGGAACUGUGUAUAUGAAAAGUUGGGCUUGUAUUUAUUUGAGUUUCACAUCCCUCAAAUACUGUAUUUUCUAUUUGUGUUUGGUUGAAGAAAAAAAAACCUGCAUAUAAGUGGACCUUCGAAGUUCAAACCCAUGGUGUUUGAGGGUCUACAUAGUGUAUUUUUUCCCCACUGAUCUAAAAUACAAAUUUGUAGAGAAAUCUUGAAAAAGUAAUAGGCAUAACAAAUAUCUGAGUUAAAAACAUGUCCUGAUUAAAGGACAAUCUGGAAGAAAAUAUGUAUAACCAAAAUGAC